rnacentral:rRNA from 1 species
GACGAACGCUGGCGGCGUGCCUAAUACAUGCAAGUUGAGCGCUGAAGGUUGGUACUUGUACCAACUGGAUGAGCAGCGAACGGGUGAGUAACGCGUGGGGAAUCUGCCUUUGAGCGGGGGACAACAUUUGGAAACGAAUGCUAAUACCGCAUAAAAACUUUAAACACAAGUUUUAAGUUUGAAAGAUGCAAUUGCAUCACUCAAAGAUGAUCCCGCGUUGUAUUAGCUAGUUGGUGAGGUAAAGGCUCACCAAGGCGAUGAUACAUAGCCGACCUGAGAGGGUGAUCAGCCACAUUGGGACUGGGACACGGCCCAAGCUCCUACGGGAGGCAGCAGUAGGGAAUCUUCGGCAAUGGACGAAAGUCUGACCGAGAAACGCCGCGUGAGUGAGGAAGGUUUUCGGAUCGUAAAACUCUGUUGGUAGAGAAGAACGUUGGUGAGAGUGGAAAGCUCAUCAAGUGACGGUAACUAACCAGAAAGGGACGGCUAACUACGUG